rnacentral:rRNA from 1 species
UAAUACAUGCAAGUCGAACGAAUCUCUUUUAGAGAUGAGUGGCGAACGGGUGAGUAAUACAUAGGUAACCUGCCCCUGUGCGGGGGAUAACAGGAGGAAACUCCUGCUAAUACCGCAUAGCCAUGAGCACCGCAUGGAGCUCAUGCCAAAUAUCCUUUAUGGGAUAGCGCAGGGAUGGACCUAUGGCGCAUUAGCUGGUUGGCGGGGCAACGGCCCACCAAGGCAACGAUGCGUAGCCGGCUGAGAGGGCGGACGGCCACAUUGGGACUGUGACACGGCCCAGACUCAUACGGGAGGCAGCAGUAGGGAAUUUUCGGCAAUGGGGGAAACCCUGACCGAGCAACGCCGCGUGAGCGAAGAAGGCCUUCGGGUCGUAAAGCUCUGUUGUAAAGGAAGAACGGCGCAUACAGGAAAUGGUAUGCGAGUGACGGUACUUUACCAGAAAGCCACGGCUAACUACGUGCCAGCAGCCGCGGUAAUACGUAGGUGGCGAGCGUUAUCCGGAAUCAUUGGGCGUAAAGAGGGAGCAGGCGGCCGCAAGGGUCUGUGGUGAAAGCCCGAAGCUAAACUUCGGUAAGCCAUGGAAACCGGGCGGCUAGAGUGCGGAAGAGGAUCGUGGAAUUCCAUGUGUAGCGGUGAAAUGCGUAGAUAUAUGGAGGAACACCAGUGGCGAAGGCGACGGUCUGGGCCGCAACUGACGCUCAUUCCCGAAAGCGUGGGGAGCAAAUAGGAUUAGAUACCCUAGUAGUCCACGCCGUAAACGAUGGUCACUAAGUGUCGGGGGUCAAACCCCGGUGCUGCAGUCAACGCAAUAAGUGACCCGCCUGAGUAGUACGUUCGCAAGAAUGAA